GACGAACGCUGGCGGCGUGCUUAACACAUGCAAGUCGAACGGAAAGGCCCUGCUUUUGUGGGGUUCUCGAGUGGCGAACGGGUGAGUAACACGUGAGUAACCUGCCCUUGACUUUGGGAUAACUUCAGGAAACUGGGGCUAAUACCGGAUAGGAGCUCCUGCUGCAUGGUGGGGGUUGGAAAUUUUCGGCGGUUGGGGAUGGACUCGCGGCUUAUCAGCUUGUUGGUGGGGUAGUGGCUUACCAAGGCUUUGACGGGUAGCCGGCCUGAGAGGGUUACCGGCCACAUUGGGACUGAGAUACGGCCCAGACUCCUACGGGAGGCAGCAGUGGGGAAUAUUGCACAAUGGGCGGAAGCCUGAUGCAGCAACGCCGCGUGCGGGAUGACGGCCUUCGGGUUGUAAACCGCUUUAGCCUGUGACGAAGCGUGAGUGACGGUAAUGGGUAAAGAAGCACCGGCUAACUACGUG
rnacentral:rRNA from 1 species